GGUAUGGCUGUUCGCCAUUUAAAGUGGUACGCGAGCUGGGUUCAGAACGUCGUGAGACAGUUCGGUCCCUAUCUGCCAUGGGCGUUGGAGAUUUGAGAGGGGCUGCUCCUAGUACGAGAGGACCGGAGUGGACGAACCUCUGGUGUUCCGGUUGUCACGCCAGUGGCAUUGCCGGGUAGCUAUGUUCGGAAGCGAUAACCGCUGAAAGCAUCUAAGCGGGAAGCGCGCCUCAAGAUGAGAUCUCCCGGGGCACAAGCCCCCUGAAGGAACCAUGUAGACUACGUGGUUGAUAGGUCAGGUGUGUAAGUACAGCAAUGUAUUGAGCUAACUGAUACUAAUGAUCCGUGCGGCUUGACCAUAUAACCUCA
rnacentral:rRNA from 1 species